AUGCUCCAAGCACGGCGCCCCCGACUCUGCGUUCGGCUCCACUCGGGCAUUUCCGCCUCUUUGUUUUAAACUCCGGACGGGUUUUUUCUCCUGCUCUUGGGGGGGACCCAGAGGGAGCGGCGCCCCCUCCCCCUCCCGGCGCGGCCCCCGCGUGCGCCCCGCUCGCCCGCAGCCGAGACGGCAGGUAAAGGAGCAGAUCCGUUUCGCUGAGCAGCCAAAGCCGCUGGUCCGGUGGGGCUGCUCCGUGUGGGCAGCACGUGUGGGUAACGCUACCGUCCCGUGUGUCUCUGCAGCUUCAGAAUGUAGCAGGGUCCCGGCUGCGUGUGCAGAAAAUGGAAAGACAGCGAGAGACAGGAGGAAGGUGCAGACGUGACGAGCCAGAGUGCAGGGGGAGCAGCGGACGAGGACCCGAAUCCCUCCCGUAACCCGGAGCAUCCGAUGCGGAGGCAGCGGAGGGGACAGACGGCAUCUAGAGGAGAAGCCAAAGAUGUUGACCAGAAAGAUUAAACUCUGGGACAUAAACGCCCACAUCACCUGCCGCCUGUGCAGUGGGUAUCUCAUCGAUGCCACCACGGUGACGGAGUGUCUGCACACAUUCUGCCGGAGCUGCCUGGUGAAGUACCUGGAGGAGAACAACACGUGUCCCACCUGCAGGAUUGUCAUCCACCAGAGCCACCCUCUGCAGUACAUCGGUCAUGACAGGACCAUGCAGGAUAUUGUUUACAAACUGGUCCCAGGCCUCCAGGAAGCGGAGAUGAGAAAACAGAGGGAAUUCUACCACAAGUUGGGCCUGGAAGUGCCUGGAGACGUCAAGGGAGAGACCUGUUCUGCAAAACAGCACUUGGAUUCCCAUCGGAACGGAGAAACCAAAGCGGAAGACAGUUCGAACAAAGAAGCAGCCGAGGAGAAGCAGGAGGAGGACGGCGACUAUCACCGCAGCGACGAGCAGGUGAGCAUCUGUCUGGAGUGCAACAGCAGCAAACUGCGGGGCUUGAAACGGAAAUGGAUCCGCUGUUCAGCCCAGGCCACAGUCCUGCAUCUGAAGAAGUUCAUCGCCAAAAAACUUAACCUUUCGUCUUUCAACGAGGACAGCUGCUGAGGAAGGCAAAUGCGUGCUGGCGUGGAUGCGGAGCAACUGGAGCCUUGUGCUCUGCUGCUGGGGUGUGAGAUGGUGCCGCCGCCGUGGAGGAGUCUGGAGGUUCCUCACAGAACUAAGCAGAACUGCCGCGAGACCCAGCAGUUCCACUUCUGGGGGGGGACUGUAAGCAGGGUUGUGAAGAAACGUCUGAACCCCGAUGUGCGUGGCAGCACGACAGACAGUAGGCAGAAGGUAGAAGCAACCCGGGUGUCUGUCAGCGGGUGACGGACAAGCCAAAUAUGGUCCAUCCGUAGAGUGGCCUGUCAGCCCUUAACAGAAAGGAGGUUCUGACCUGAUACCAAGUGGCACAGCCAUAAAGACAUCGUGCCCGGUGACAUCAGCCAGUCACAAAAGGACAGAUACUGUGUGAUUUGACUCAUUAGAGGUUCCUAGAGUCAUCAGAGUCAUAAAGACAGAUGGUAGAAGGGGGUUUUACAGAACUCAGCGUACUCUUACUGUACGUACGACUCAGCAGUCACACCCCAUGGUACUUCCCCAAAGGAGCGGAAAGCCUCUGUCCACACAAAAUCCUGCACACAAGUGUUUAUAGCAGCUUCGUUUAUAGUUGGCCAAAACUUGGAAGCAGCCAAGAUAUCCUUCGGAAGACGACAGGUACAUAAACGGUGGUCUGUCCAGACAGUGGCGUAUUACUCAGCACUGAAAAGAAAUGAGCUUCCGUACCAUGAAAAGACACAGCAACCUUAAGUGCAUGUUACUAAGUGAAAGGGGCCAACCUGAGAAGGCGUCAUACUGUGUGGAUCCAGUUCUGUGACGUUCUGGAAAAGCUGGACAUUUUAUGCAACGAGGAGAUCCUGGGCAAGGACCACACACUCAAAUUCGUAGUCGUCACGAGGUGGAGGUUUAAG